rnacentral:rRNA from 1 species
GUCGACGGUGUCUUCGGACAUAGUGGCGCACGGGUGCGUAACACGUAUGCAACCUACCUUACAUUGGGGGAUAGCCUUUCGAAAGGGAGAUUAAUACCGCAUAAGACAGUAACUAGGCAUCUAGUAGCUGUUAAAGAUUUAUCGAUGUAAGCUGGGCAUGCGUCCAAUUAGCUAGUUGGUGAGGUAAUGGCUCACCAAGGCUAUGAUUGGUAGGGGAACUGAGAGGUCAAUCCCCCACACUGGCACUGAGAUACGGGCCAGACUCCUACGGGAGGCAGCAGUAGGGAAUAUUGGGCAAUGGACGCAAGUCUGACCCAGCCAUGCCGCGUGCAGGAUGAAGGCGUUAUGCGUUGUAAACUGCUUUUAUACAGGAAGAAACGACUCUUGCGAGAGGCAUUGACGGUACUGUAUGAAUAAGCACCGGCUAACUCCGUGCCAGCAGCCGCGGUAAUACGGAGGGUGCAAGCGUUGUCCGGAUUUAUUGGGUUUAAAGGGUGCGCAGGUGGUUUAUUAAGUCAGUGGUGAAAGACGGUCGCUCAACGAUUGCAGUGCCAUUGAAACUGGUAGACCUGAGUAAAGUAGAGGUGGGCGGAAUUGAUAGUGUAGCGGUGAAAUGCAUAGAUAUUAUCAAGAACCCCAAUUGCGUAGGCAGCUCACUUGGCUUUUACUGACACUCAUGCACGAAAGUGUGGGUAUCAAACAGGAUUAGAUACCCUGGUAGUCCACACUGUACACGAUGAUAACUAGGUG